AAAAUCUGUUUUUAUCCGCUCACUUCUGCGAUCGGGGCGGGAGGAGAGCAGCCGGAGCGGCGCUGCCGCAUCGCUCGAAAGAAAUUAGGGUUUUUGCUUCGGGGGUUUGAUGGGUUUGGGCAAAGGCAGAGCCCUCUAGAGGAGCAGCCCGGCUAUCGCUGGGACGGCAGUUCCCCUCUGAGCUACGUGUGCUGCCUUCGAGCUGUCUCGAGUUGAUUUCUCUCCUUCCAGCAAAGGAAAUGGGUGAGAAAAUAAUGCUGAAUUAGCUCUAAUAAAAACGCGUGUCCUCAGAAAACUCCAACUUGCUUUCCCAAACACUGGGGAACAUGAAACAAAAAUAGCUUGGGAGAGGUGAUUACACAGGCGGCAUGGCACGGGUAUGCAAACCGACACUUAAUUUUAACGAGUGGAGAGAAGAAAGCUUUGAUGGUGUGAAGGCUUUAAAAAAGUUUAAUUUUCUUAAUGCCUUUAUCCUGCUAGGAGCGUGCAGCGUUGCCUCGACGCAUUGCUGGCUCUCAGUACAAACCUGUUGCUGCUCCCUUUUGCCAAGGCACGAGGAGAACAACGUUGUGAGCUCCAGAGCUCUGCCACUGUGCUCUCCAAACAGAGAGGUCUGUGCAAUGUCUGCCUUGUAGAAACACACAGAGAAGCCAAGGUGCCAAGAGAAGCCAAGGUGCCAAGGUGGAAAACUGAACUCAUUUUCCAGGACCCACACCAAGUCUCUAGAUCCCUUGCCCUUUUGGGCUAUGUGGAGGAGAAGAUCUGAUUGACGGAAUUACUUCUUCUGGUCCAGGUUCCUGGUUCACCAUGGAGGAUGCAAUGAGGAAACCAGUGCAUUCGAAGCCACCCGUGUCACUGGGUAUGUACAGGAGCAUGCACAAGAAGGACUACACGUGGCAGGAAGAGAUCAAACCACCCACUGAGGAGGACAUUCAGGUACCAUGGGCUUCUCCUGACUUUGCUCAAUGUCCUUUGGUGCCAGCUCCCUGCUCUUGGCUAUGGGACAGGCAGGGACUGGGUGGGCCUGGGAUUGGGUGGGUGCAGAGGUGUGAGUCCCUUUGGUCCGCCUUGGUCCCUACUGCCACGACCCAUCAGCAGGUUCCAUCAUGCCCAAAUGCCCAAGGCCUCUGUCCCCAUCCCUUCUGCGGGAAAUCCCCCUCCUGCCCUCCAGUGAAAGCAUUUGGGGCGGGCCAUGCUAA
rnacentral:lncRNA from 1 species